rnacentral:misc_RNA from 1 species
GUGAGUCAUCGAAUCUUUGAACGCACAUUGCGCCCUUUGGUAUUCCGAAGGGCAUGCCUGUUCGAGCGUCAUUAUCACCCCUCAAGCCCCCGGCUUGGUGUUGGACGGCCUGGUUUUGGCACCAAAACCCCUCCCAAAGAUAAUGACGGCGGCUUGUUCGACCCCCGGUACACUGAGCUUCUUCACUGAGCACGUAUCGGUCUGAGUGGUUGGCGAGCCCCGGUCUGCUCCCUUUAACUAGGGAAAACUUUUCAAGGUUGACCUCGGAUCAGGUAGGAAUACCCGCUGAACUUAAGCAUAUCAAUAAGCGGAGGA